AAAAUGAAAUCCCACGGUUCUGGUACAGGAGGCUGGAGGCUGCAUUUCCUUGGCUAAGUGAACGUCAAACCCCUGUAGGCUGAACUCCCUGGUGGGAGUGGAGCUCAGCUGCGCCAGGCCCCUUCAGCAAGCAGCUGCCUGGUGUGAGCUUGGGUCUGAAGGGCGAAGGGGGCAUCCCUAGCCUUUCCCACAGCCUGCAGGGAGUCCUUACGCCAAAUGAAUUCGGAUUCUACUUGGGAACAUCAAUAGGAACAAAUGAAAGAUAAAGGUGAAUGUGAGACAACUGGAGGUAUGUUUCUUUUUAAUUUAAAUUUUCCCCUGAAUCAAAAUUCUCCGGUCGUAACACGCAUGCCAGAGCCUACUGCCAUCAUGACCCAUGACUGGUGACUGUCCACUUGCCUGGAUUAGCACCUGCCUAGCAGAACAAUAAAGUACACUUCCUGGUGUGCCUGGGGGGUGUUUCCAGGGAUGACUGGCAGGUAGGCCAGCCAACUGAAAGAGGAAGAACAGCCCGACUGUGGGGCACCAUCCAAUAGGCUUGCAGCCCAGGAGAAAGGCGUGUGAGGGAGGAAGUUGGCUGGCACCUGACCAUGUGUGUCUUUGCCGCUGCCUGCGGACCUCAGACUCCAGCUCCUUCAGCCUUUCAACACAGACCCUCUGCAGGGAGCUUCCAGGCUGCGGUCUCUGGCUGGAGCUGCAUCCGUGAGCCCUCUUGUUCUGCGGCUUCCGGCCUCUCAGACUGAGCAGCGCUGGAUUCUCCUCUUCUCCAGCACGCGGACAGCCGCUGUGGACGCUCCUGCGCAGAUGCUCUGGUUAAAGGAAUGGCCACACCCUUUCCGGUCAGCGGGUGCUUUCAGGCACUUCCCCCCACCACCUUCCCCGACGGGUGCAGCACCUGGAGGAGCACAGGCUGCCGUUCCAGGCCUCACUUUGUCCUUGACGUGUUCAAGCCCAGUCCUUGCUCUCAAAUGUCCCACACCCCAAGUGCAUACCAGCCUCGAAGCCCUAGGUCUACGGUUGCCCAGGCUUGUCCUGCUCGCUUGCUUUGUCCCCUCAGCCUGUGUGUGUCAUCUCAGGGCACUCGCCUCAUGACCCCGAGAGUUCAGCAAUCCACCGGGAAGUAUUUUCUGUCAUGUAUCCAACUACUCACAGCUUCACGGCAAGAAGAGCUUCAAGACUUUCAACUUGACCCACUGCUUACAGCAGAACUAUGCUUCUAAAAUACGCUUUUUCCUUUGUGAUUGUAUUAGUACAUGUCUGUGGUACACAGUAAAUACCUUCACCGUGGAGGAGUGGUGAACUUCGUAUCCAGCCUCCAUCCUUUCUUUCCCCUCCUGCUCCUGUCCCUCCCACCCCGCCCAUCCCCAGACACUCCCGAAUGAGCAUUUGAUCUCCUGGACAGAACUGAAUGAACACACGCUGUCAGAGCUGCGAGCUGAGCGUCUUUGUGAUGCUCAAACUCUGAGACUCCCAGGAGGCCAUGCUGCUCCUCCCCUGAAACAUGCACAGGCACCUUGAAGCUCUGCUGACCGUGAGGCUGGGCUUUCUUGGGUUUGCCUUUCUGUAACCGUGAGUGAUCUGCACUGAAGCUCAGCUGAGGCACUGGGAAAGGGGCAAGAGCUGACUGUGCAAUUAUUAGAUCAAGCUCAAGGCUCCGACUUAAUCCACGGCCCAGACAUCAGAGACUAAAACAAAACCAUAAUCCCUCAUCCUUCUGCUGCUCAUUCUGAUCACUCUCGUUUCUAGCCAUGCUCCUGACCUUGCAGUUACUUCCCAUGAGGCCUCAGUGCUACAGUUUCACCUCCACGCCAUGCCCAGCACCUCCAUUCCACUCACUGCUCUGCAUUCCUGCUGGAGCCCGUGAACUUUUGUCUCCCCUCCCCGACCUGGCUCUCUCCUGACGGCACCGUGGGCUAUGUGCAGAGACGUGUGCUCUCCGAGGUCUGUGGACACUGAGCCUGGCACCCACUUCCACUCCAGUCACGAUCCCACCUAGAGGGCAGGGAUGGGAGGUCCAAAGUGUGCAUCGUGCAGCUGGGAUUCUGAAUAGGGGAACCUUGCAAGGACAUCCGCCUGAGCAGGGCUGAAGGACCAAAAGGAGAUGCUGUCACUUCUUGCCGCAGCAGUAGCUGCCAGGAAGCUUAGAGGGCCGCAUGUGUGCAGCAGUCUGGACACGCUCUCUACUUGUGGGAGGCAGGGCCUCAGGGACAGCAGAAGCAAAGGUGGAUGCAGCACUUCUCCUGCACAGUUGCGGGGUGGCACCCCCAAGCCAAGAGCUCCACAGCUCCCCUCCCACCCUAGCAAGUCCCUGGGCUACCUCUGCUUCCCAUGUGAAGCGUCCAGAGGGAUGUCUGCCUUGUGUACUGAACCGAGCCAGACUGUGUCUGAUUCGCCUUCAUUCUCCAGUACUGUGGAAGUGUGUGCGCACCCUAGAGCACAGCUGGGUGAACUCCACUGCACGGAAUGGAUCCUGAUGUUUGCCAUCUAGGUAAGUUAUUCAUCUUCUUGUGCCAUGACUUCCUUAUCUGUGGGAGCCACAUGACAGGAACGCUGGUACUUGGGGUAUGUGACAUUAUGGAACACACCUCCUCCACGCAGGGCUCCCUUCCUCCCCACCCACCCUGCUUCUCUACGUGGAAAUGAUCCCAGGGGUGAUUCUACAACAGGGUUUAAUGGGCAGUGAUUUGGCUCUAAACACCACAGCCUAGAACAAAACAGCCACACCCAAGAUGCUAACCAUUGACUCCUGCCUGCAGCGCUCUUCAGGAGAUGUGGAGACGUAGAAACCGCCCUGCAAUUCAUGAGAGCGCUGGAGGACCAGAUGGAGUUAACAGAACUUCCGCCCCACAGGGUCCUCUGCUGCCUCACCCAUCCACACUCCUGUUCUUCCUGGAGCAGAACGCUGUGUUCUCCACGAACACUGCCUUGCCCUGCCCAAAUGACUCAGUGGCCACAGAGCUGGCUGGCCAAGGGCCCAGCAGAAUUCAGCCUUAUCUCCCAGCCUCUCCUGACAGUUCUCUCUGUCUCGAACAAAUGUCUUCUCUGGGAGAAGGUGGACUCAGGAGCACCUCCAGCAUACAACACAGGAGCUUCCACAACAGGGGAAUGUGUGACUCACACACGUGGAAAUACCACGGCGAAUCCCAUUCAUUUGUCCACUUAGCAUGUGCUGAUAAUUAUGCUUAAAUAAUAGCAGACUGCUAUUGCAAAUAACUGUAAAAUGAGAAAGAAAAUCCUUUCUUUUCUCCUUGUUGGUACUAGGGACACCAAAAAUGGGAUGGAUACAUUCAUCAUUAUUUACAUUUAUGUAUGAAUUAUUCAAUUAUCAUUACACAAAACUGUUUGCCUCAAAUAUCCAGCUAUCAAAGAAGAAAAACUGAAAACUUCACUAUUGGUAUAUUAUUUACAUUUAUAAAUUAAUUUUGAUGAAAUAUAAAAAUUGUGCGUUAACAUUGCGAGUAAUACUGUCAGAUUUGGGAAGAGAAUAACAACAUAAUUUCUGGUGGAAUCAGUGUACAGUUAACUGCCAAAAUGAGGGCAAAAUGAGCUGUUCUCUGAGGAUUAAAUCCACAGCUUUAGACUCGUUCCACAAGUGAGACUGCCCAGGCUCCUAAUCCAAUCAACCCUGUUCCAUAUCCUCAGUGUGAACACAGGCAGAAGUUACACUCGAAACUCACCCAUUCAGAAUUAAUUCUAUCAAGCUUUUUUUAAACUUGUUUUCUUUUUCUCUCUUUAUGCACUAUAUGCAUUAUGGCAAAAUACACAGUGAUAAAGUGCAGCAACCAUUACCUAUAAAUUAUACCUUUAAUUCCAGAACCCUACCCUUAAGCUGUACUAGGGUCUCAAAUAUUAUAGUGUUUCUUUAUAACUAUUUUUGUAUAAAUAUAAAAUAAUUUUAUAGAAAGAUGGACUACAAAAAGAAGAAGAAAAUAGUCACCCAAAUCCUUACCAACCAGAGACAAGAGGAAAACACUAAACUAGAUGUAUGCUCCCGAUAUUCUUCAGUUAUGUUCCAUGUAGACAACACGAAACUCUGCAUAGCAGUCUGCACACCUGUGAUCUUAAUUACUUACAGCAGCUCAGAGGCAUACGCCACACGCAGCGUCACUUUCCCUGAAAGCAUGUCUUAGGGUAGUGAGGAUUGCAGCAGCUGGCCCAGCGAGCUUCCUCAGUCUUCAGUGUGUUUCAACUUGUCAAUAUGAGUCUGCUUUGACUUGCCAACCACACGGUGUUUUCCUUAAUAGAUCUGUGGAGGAUAUCUUUUGUAGAUAGUAGGCUAAUAUUUGUACAUCCAUCUUUUAGAAUUUUGCACUAACUUAUCACAAUGCGUAUAUUCGUCUUGUAGAAGAUUCAGAUUCCUUAAGGAAAUCGAACUUGUUGCCACUGGCAUUUGGAACUGCAGAGUUGACUGUAGAAGCUGUGAUUUCAGUCUCAUCCUUAAUGGACAGAGACAUCCAGGCAAUCCAUUCACUUGCUUUCAUGACAGAAACAAAGGUUUUCCACCAAAGCAUUCCAACAAGUGUCUUCUGCCAAAUCGAAGAGAGAGCCAGGAAACUGUAAUUACCAGUCAAUUGGAAUGUCUCUUUCUGUGUCUGCCUUGUUAGUGGUAAUGAGCUGAGCCUUAUUUAAAUGAAUGCAAGUAACAGAUGAAAAACAAAAAGCUGGCCCCUCCUAUCACACAGAAAUAAGAGUUUAAAUAAAAUUGUAUACAUGCAGGUGGACACUUCAGCUCCAUUCUUUUAACUUCUAACUGCUCAUUGAGAUCUUUUGCUGUCCAGGUAGAAAUACAAUAAAGGAACUUAGAUGGAAAAAAUUGUGUACCAGUAAAAUUUCACCAAGCAGUAAAUGGAUUGCUCUGAAAACAUAAUGAAUACUACUUUCUUCAACCAUGUUAUUUAACACUUGGGAGUUCUUCAUCAGAAAAAAAGAGAAAAAAAUAGUUGAAAUAAAAAGUGAAUAAUUAUUUUUACAAGAAACAAGCCAGCUUCCAAUGAUAUAUGACAUGUAUUUCAAAAUAAGCAUUCAACAAGUCUAUUUGAUGAAGCAAACAUUUAACAAAAUAUGUGAAUGGCAGAUUUAUAUUUUCAUCAUUGUGCAAAAAGCAGUGUCUUAAUUUUAAUAACUGUUUUAAGAAAGCAUUAUGGACUUAGCAUGUUGGGUCAUUUAAAAGAGUGACUAAAGACAUAAUUAAUUUUCCAUUAAUAGGUGAUUCUGUAGGUAAAAUAGUUUUCAUCUUUUUAAACUUUGGAAUCUGAAUAUAUUUUGAAAUGAUUCUGCCCUGCCAAAAGUGAAAAUUCUAAAUCCCAAUAUGCACGAAAAUGUAGACAACAUUUGAAAUUCAAUUUUUAAAUCUGAAAGUGAUUUUCUAGCUUCACGACUGCAUACUUCACAGUAUGUCUGUGCUGAGACUCAGCGAGAUGCCAGCUAUCAUCUGGCCCAAAUAUAUCAGCAUUCAUUUCUCCUCGAGAUGGUCAACUCCGGUGCUCUGUGAUGGCAUACAUGUCCCUUCAGACACUUCUAUUAAAAAUGGCCUUUCCCUCCUUUUACACACAUUAAUAGUUCGCUACAGACCUCGUGACACUAUGGCUCCUAGAAGCUUUUCCUGGCGCUGUCCUUCCAUGGAAUUCAGCUCCCAGGCAGAGAGGCGUGCGCUCUGCUGUUUCAGUUCUCGGCGUCUGAUUUUUAAGUCAAUCAGAAGUAGUGCUCCAGUCUAAUAAUGCUACCUGGUAGUCUCCUCCGCAGCUUGCAUAGAAGAAAUCUUCACAGGACUUACUGGAGGGUCAGCUCCUCUCAGCGCACCGUACAGCAGUCCUGCCGCAGGAGCCCAGGGUUCUGAGGAAGCCGGAAGCCGACCUCUCGGCUGUGCACUGCGGGGCUGCAGGGCCCGCCGCUCCACUCGAAGGCAGAGGCACUGACUCCUCCACCGCUCGGAAUUCACAAUCAGGCACAGACAACGCGGACAAGAAUGACUUUUCCUCCGCCACCUAACCGGACGGGGAGUAAUCUUCUCCGCCCCUCAGGCCACAGCGGGGUCGGGGCUGCUCCAGCCCAUGCCGCUUAAGGCCCAGAGGAGGGUGCUGCGGGGCUUCCGUUCCCCACCCAGGGCUGCACGGUGGGCCCCUGUCCGCGUGAAAUGAGCGCUCAGACGUUCUUACAUUAGGGUGAUAUUGUAAUGCGGGCUGUCACCUCCAAACCUAAACUGUUUAAAUCUAAGAUCUGUUACCAUAGUUUGUUUAAAUCUGCAAAGAAUAAUCUUAUUUUUCACCACUAAUCAUCGCUUGUCAAUAACAGCUCUGUAUUGAUCUCACAGGGAAAAAAACCACCUUUUUUUCUUCGUUUUCUGCUACAGUUUGCAGAGAUGUAUUAAAAUAAUCUGCAAAGCUCUUCACUUCUAGGUUCCAGUGAUAAAACUACUGUUUUCCAAAGUAAAACCAACAGCAACAACUACUUGACAACACAGUUAUGCACCACGCAACACAGGAGCAGGAGCUUUCAUUUGUGAGUGAAAUGGGCGUGGCCUUCUCACCCUCCUGCUGCUUUCCUGUCAGAGGACUGGCAGGGCCCACAGCCUCACCCUGAGGACGUGACGCGGGGCUUAUUCGAGUCAGUCACUGCCCACUGCCGGGGUGUGCCUGACACUACCGAGCAGAGGGCACCGGGACAGGCCGAGAAGCCACCCGCACAGGAGGGACCAACUCCAACCCACUGAACAUCACGCAAGAACCCGAAGUAACGCGUUGCUACGGUAAGCGCUUUUGUUAAAGUUGAAUUCCCAGCAAAGGGAACAAGUAAGUGCAAUUUCCGGUUAAAACAGAAUAUGCAGUCAUUGUCAUGAUCUACGUGGAGGCUCCCAGCGCCAAUCUGCAGCUGACAACAGGAACAACUUAUGUUGCUCCAGCGGAUAUCAGUAGUGCAUCAGGUGACUUGUAAACGCCUUUCCGUAGCAUGCAUCCAGUAGUGCCGGCAUUCCCAAACCCUAAACUGGCAGAGGGGAGUGAGCAACAGAGCUGUGGCUAGAGGAACUGGAAAGAGCAGAGGAAGAAUCAGGCAAAAGCUUUUCAGUCGUGUGAAACUUGUCAAGAUUGUCUCUAAUGAUGACGAUGACAUAAGGGUUGAAAAAAUAGGAACUGUCUUAUUCUGCUACGGGAACGUAAAUUGGAGGAAUAUUUCUGAAAGAAACUUUAAAACCUACUUCUACGUCUCUUAAUUCUAGACAUCACUUAUAAGGAAAUGAUUAAUAGGUCCAAAGUUUUAUGCGAGAAUGUUUUCUUCAAUGUUACAUUUUGUAAUUAGGAAAAUACUGGAAUCAAUUUAAAUUUACUUCAACAAAAGAGAAUAAAUGAAUGAUUUAUUUAUAAUAUGGGAUAUUGAAGAGUCAUUAAAAAGGUAUGUUCAAGGAACUAAUACAAAAAAAAACCCUAAAAUAUAAUAUCAGGUUAAUAAGCUGGGAAAAAUUAAUUUAUUUUCUAAAAAGGAAUAUAAAAGAUUUGUAAAAUACGUCAAAAGAGUCACCUAACUCUGUAAUAGAACAAUACAUGACUUUUAGUUUAUUAUUUGCAUGUUAUAUUUUUCACGUAUUCAAAUGUUUUAUAUUUUUAAAUGGCCAUGCACUACAUGUGCGUACACUUGCGUGUAUGUAUAGUAUAACACCAAUAUAUAUCACAUGGUUUUUUAAAAAAUCACCACAAAGACAGCAAUAUCUAACCCUCUAAGCAUUGAGUUAAGUUCAUCAAAUAUUUACUGGAAGCUACUUAAAGGUGGGAAAUGUCUGAGGAACACACUGAAGAGUCGUGACUUUAAAGAGUUUACACUCUACUAGAGAAUAAUACUGUAAAUCAAGGAAAGAUAGGUCCCACAAGGUAUUGUAGGGUUAAAGGAGAGGAGGAACGAGGGGCUGAAGAGGAAAGAUUCACAGAAGAGGCUGCAGUUGGAGUGGGUCUUAGGGAAGUCAAUGGGAAUCUGGCGAGCGAGCGUCUCAAGCAGGAGGAGCGAUAAGAGGAGGACGGGAAAGACUGGGCCACCUCUGAGCGCAGCUCUUGGUCGGGGCUAUGUCUGCAGUUAAACCUUAAAUACGAGGAGGCCGUGGGCACGUGGUGAAGAAAAGAGUUUGGGGCCUGCUUGGACAGCCCGGGCUGCCGGCCAGAAGGCUUUGUGCCUGCUUGAGAAGGCAGUGGUAUGUUGGAGCUGUGCUACGGGAACAGGAACCUAGCAGUGCUGUGGAGCUUGACGAAGAAACUUGGCAUGUUAAUAUUCAUAUUUUAGUCCAGGCACCUUAAUGUGUACAUCUAUAAUCUCAAGUUAAACAAGAUAACUACAGCUUCUUCUGUUUGGUUAUUUUUAAAUGACCAAGUGACCUGUUCAGUAGACACUCACCUGCCAAGAAUGCCCCGCUCUUCCCACUGCCCUCUGCUGGGCAGCAGGGGUAAGACUGUGAGGGUAAAGGGUGCGCCAGCCACCAGGAGCGCGGGGCUGAUGGGGAUAAAAGUGGAGGGAGGCUCUCAGACGUCUGUAGUGCUUUCCUUGGGGUUAAAAGUAGUGAUUUUAUGUUUCGACCUGCCAACUCUGAUGAGGACUUGCAAAAUUUUCUACUUUACUAAUUGCAAUGAGAGAUAAAAUGACGACAGAGGUGCAAGGCCAAAGCCUUUUACCGUGGAGGUAGCUAAAGCCUGACUGUUAGAGAUAGAAGGGCAGGGCAUUAACCCUAACAGGAAAUGGGAGGGAGACAGGGGCUGCACAACUUGCCAGCGAUUGGAUGUAAGGACACAAGAGAGAGCGACUGUCCGCCCGCGGCUUGCAGCAUUUUAAUGCUGCUUAGCCGAGAGACCACGAGUGGCACUGGGAGCUGAAACAGGAACAGGAUCAUAUUUGGGGAACGUGGUGUGUCCUAUUUCCAGUGGCAGCCAGCUGUACACACGCAGGUACCUGUAAGCUAGGGCACCUCGGGCUGGGGUGGAGAUACAGGAAGGCAGAAAUGCAGCAAGAACUUCAAAGAUUCAUGAACCCAUAGCAGUCUGUACAUUUUUAAAUUCUAGUGCUAUACAUUUUUCUCCUGAAUGUAACUUCUGACCAGUAUCACAGAAUUGGCUAUGGAAGGAACCGGAGAGAAGCAGUUACUGAUGAUUUCCAGUCUCUGGCCAGCACACUCUGAGCUCCAGCACCUCCCUCAGAGCUGUGUGCUGUGCACAUGGAUCGUGAAGCUGUGGGCGAUAAAGAUAGCAAGAGAAGAUCUAAAGGCGGCCCGGGCACACGGUCCUCAAGGAAGCCGGUGGACAACAGCGAGGCACAGGCUGAGCAUCCCCUCUCCCCGAUGCCAAGGCGGAGCACCCAGUCUGCCUCUGCACAGCCAAGCUGGGAAAGUCAAGGAGGCAGGGGAGGGACAGAAGAAGGAAGACGUGCCACACACGCACCAGCUCCCCACCAUGCAUAUGAUCACUACGUACAGCAAACCGAUACCAAUAAAAACAAGAAUUUAAAACGAUCUCCUGCAAAGCUACCUAAUCUGGGAAUAUUUACUUUAUUUGUUAGUUUGACAGCAAGAAGGAAAUGAAAGUUCAACUUGGGAUCAUUACUCCCUUUCCAAAAUCCAAACACUCUUGAUGAAUAUACCCCUAACAUCAAAAGAAAAGAACUUCUAAUUCAAUGCUUCAAAGAUUUCACUGUGCUUUCUUGUAUCUAGUACAAAAUCUUAUAGAUUCUUGUCAAUUUUGCUUAAUUUAAGAAGAUUCUAAUUAAACCACCAGGAAAUUCCCAAGGCCUAAAUAGCACUUUUCUUCUUUAUCUUUACACCCUUUGCCUUAAUUGGUCAGUAAUAAUUGCCUAAAGCUAUUCCCUAGAAAGUUUCUUCCACAUAACUGUAGUUUUCCUCCAAAUAAGGGUUGUCUUUUUUUUUCAUGUGAUACUCAGCAAGUUGUUUGGCGAGAUCCACCGAAGUAGAGAUGUCAGUGAGUGCUCACUGCCCAUGGCGCAAAUGUGCACUCGAGGUCCCCACUCACUCUUAAAUCUUAUGAUGGAACUGGACAGCUCACAGGCGUCUUUGGCCCUCCAGUUCACGGAAAAAGCUAUGCAAGCUUCUCCACUUGUCUAAGCAUUCACCUCAGGGGACCACUCACAUCCACAUGGAGCGAUUACCCCUCCAUUGCCUCCAUCAUGAUAUAUAAAGAAAAAACUAUUUCCAGCAAGGUUACUACUGCAUAAUGGAAGCACUCCUUUUCUGAAUAAAUAAAUGACGUUUGCAGUGGUGGCUGCACACAGCAUGUGGAUAUGGGUCUGUGUGAUUAUUUCUCCUCACUGAGCCCGAUCAAUACACAACAUAUGUAUAUAUGUCAGUGUUACGCAAAUCCGAUUAAUUUGAGUGAUGAAUUUGCAUUAAUGAUAAAAAAUCCUUCCAGCUUAAACUCCUUUGGAAUCCAGAGCAGAGAUAAAAGGAGACUGUAUUCAUCGUUCUCCCAUCCAUUCUUGAUGGCUAACUAAACACAACUGUGAAGCCAGGAACAAAGCCCAAGCAGCUGACAUGGAGACAACAUGUGUCGUGUUAAACAUGGAAGUUUGUGUGACACACUUCGACUCCUAUUUUGAUCCGUGUAUUUUUUAUGAAAUCAAUGUCUAUUCUUCAGAAUAGAGUGUCUCAACUGUGUGUUACAAUUUAGGUGAUUUCUAGAGGUUUUGAGGACAAAAUGCAGAGACAUUUCUCCAGCACCUUUACCUGCAGCACCCACCCCACCCCAAACACGUAGCAUGUCAAUGGUUCAAAUCUUGAUUCUCCCUUUUCCCUAGCACUUUAACAUUGAUGCAUUCAUUCUGGAAUAAAACGUUCCCCACGUUGAAAAAGUCAUCAAAAACUUCCUUUAUAUGUAAAAGCUAACAAAUAGGUAAACCUUAUUUUGAAGAACUGUGCUUUUAUCUCUCUUACACUGUAUUUGCCAUAUACAUUUGAUCAGAAACAAUGACAAGACAUCAUAAAACAAAUGUUUUCUAAGUACAACCCUACAAUAUUCUUCAAAAGACAUUUUUCUCAUUCAGCAACUAGUUACUGUGCUUACUAUAUAUUGGUGCAAUGCUACCAGUGGGUGCAGACUCCAUGGGACUCACCCUUUCCCCAUUUGUCAGCUGCCUGCAUUUAUCUACCACCUCCCCGAUUCUUCUUUUACUUCUGAGUCUUUGUAAACUCGCAGGAAGUUUCAGAAACUGCUCUGAGUGGCUCCCGCUGCCCUCACCCACCUUCCCGAGGGAACAGAACACUGACCACACUGUCUGCAGGGAUAUCUGUGUUUCAUAAACUUCGCAAGCACUCACUUGUGGAUGCCUAAGUUUGUUGUCUUGGCAGCCUUGUGUGAAACCACCGCCAUACGAAAGAUUCAGAAACGCUCGGUCCACGCCAGGCUCCCGCCCAGUGCCCUCCAUGUCCGCCCAACCCUGUGACCCCGGCUCCUAAACUCUGAAGCCCGCUGACCUCCCCCUGCCUCAGUCUCACUGUUCUGUGCAGUGCAGGUGUGCAGAUGCUGCAGUUCGCCACCUUGGGGACUGGUUUUUCUCAUUUGCUGUAACACCCUUGAUAGCUCUUAACAUUGAUCAGUAUCAAUAGUUUUGCUGUUUCUUUGGGUUUUGUUCUCCUUCUUUUUGCUGAGUAAUAUUCUGUAGUAUAAAUGUACAGCAAUGUUCAAUCAUUCACCCAUUUUGGGACACUUGUGCAUUAUUUCCAAUGUGGUAACACCAGAGAGCCUCCUUCUUAGGAUAUUUGUGUAGAGUUUUGCGUGAACAUGUGUUCUUUCUGUGUAGAAAAUGGUCCAGAGUGCUAAGCUGUAUGACUCGUGUUUGGUUGCAAGAGAAACUGCCACAUGUUUUUCCAGAGGGACUGUGCUACUUCACAUCCUUCGCAGCUGUGUCUACAAGUUCACUUCUCUAGAUCUUUGCUAGCAUUUCGUAUUUUCACAUUUUUAAACACUGUAGUUGUUCUGAGACAUAGGUAGCAAUACCUCACGGUAGUUUUCAAUACAUUUCCCUAAUUUCAAAUAUGUUAAACAUCUUUUCUUUCACGUGCAGAAUUGUCAUCUCAAUGUCUGUUCAUGUUUGAACCAUUUUCUGAUUGGAUUUUCUUUUACUGUUGAAGUGUUUAUGGGUUUUACAUCUGACCUCCAUAAAAAUCUUUGCUUGGCCAUGUAGCUUGAAAAUAUUUCCUCCCAUUGUGUUUUUCAUCUUCAGAUUGAUUAUUAAUUGAAUUAAUUGAAUUAAGAAGUCUGUGUUGUUUUUCAUUUAUAAAAUGCCCAUAACUUUUUAGACACAUCUGUCGUUGCUCGGUCUCGCAUUUGUUCCUGAGGAAGUUGAAGUCAUAAGGUUUAAUUCCUACUUCAUCGAGCUGUUAUUAGUCAAAGCAGGCAUGGAGUUGUCUGCUUAUGCCACUUGGCUACGCUUUUGUAUUCACUGGUAAGUGGGAAAACGGUCAAAAUUUGAGUAUUAGACUGCACUAAACAUGACACUGAGAAUCCACUCCACACUCUCCUACACAGGGCACUGUUUCAGCCACCACAACCAGCAGCCCCUCUCACACUGUUCUUGUUUAGUCAAAGGAGAAAGAGAACUGUAUUUUGCUGAAGAUAUAUUAAUUUAAGGAAUAUUUUAAGUCCUGUUUUCCUAAU